rnacentral:rRNA from 1 species
CGCGACGGGGGGACCCCCAGUGCCGUGCCUCUGGCACGGCUUUUCCGGAGUGUAAAAAGCUCCGGGAAUAAGGGCUGGGCAAGGCCGGUGGCAGCCGCCGCGGUAAUACCGGCGGCCCGAGUGGUGGCCACUAUUAUUGGGCCUAAAGCGGCCGUAGCCGGGCCCGUAAGUCCCUGGCGAAAUCCCACGGCUCAACCGUGGGGCUCGCUGGGGAUACUGCGGGCCUUGGGACCGGGAGAGGCCGGGGGUACCCCCGGGGUAGGGGUGAAAUCCUAUAAUCCCGGGGGGACCGCCAGUGGCGAAGGCGCCCGGCUGGAACGGGUCCGACGGUGAGGGCCGAAGGCCAGGGGAGCGAACCGGAUUAGAUACCCGGGUAGUCCUGGCUGUAAAGGAUGCGGGCUAGGUGUCGGGCGAGCUUCGAGCUCGCCCGGUGCCGUAGGGAAGCCGUUAAGCCCGCCGCCUGGGGAGUACGGCCGCAAGGCUGAAACUUAAAGGAAUUGGCGGGGGAGCACUACAAGGGGUGGAGCGUGCGGUUCAAUUGGAUUCAACGCCGGGAACCUUACCGGGGGCGACGGCAGGAUGAAGGCCAGGCUGAAGGUCUUGCCGGACGCGCCGAGAGGAGGUGCAUGGCCGCCGUCAGCUCGUACCGUGAGGCGUCCACUUAAGUGUGGUAACGAGCGAGACCCGCGCCCCCAGUUGCCAGUCCCUCCCGCUUGGGAGGGAGGCACUCUGGGGGGACUGCCGGCGAUAAGCCGGAGGAAGGGGCGGGCGACGGUAGGUCAGUAUGCCCCGAAACCCCCGGGCUACACGCGCGCUACAAUGGGCGGGACAAUGGGACCCGACCCCGAAAGGGGAAGGGAAUCCCCUAAACCCGCCCUCAGUUCGGAUCGCGGGCUGCAACUCGCCCGCGUGAAGCUGGAAUCCCUAGUACCCGCGCGUCAUCAUCGCGCGCGAAUGCCAC